CCUACGGGAGGCAGCAGUGGGGAAUAUUGCACAAUGGGGGAAACCCUGAUGCAGCGACGCCGCGUGAAGGAAGAAGUAUUUCGGUAUGUAAACUUCUAUCAGCAGGGAAGAAAAUGACGGUACCUGACUAAGAAGCCCCGGCUAACUACGUGCCAGCAGCCGCGGUAAUACGUAGGGGGCAAGCGUUAUCCGGAUUUACUGGGUGUAAAGGGAGCGUAGGCGGUUUAGCAAGUCAGAAGUGAAAGCCCGGGGCUCAACUCCGGGACUGCUGUUGAAACUGUUGAACUAGAGUGCAGGAGAGGUAAGUGGAAUUCCUGGUGUAGCGGUGAAAUGCGUAGAUAUUAGGAGGAACACCAGUGGCGAAGGCGGCUUACUGGACUGUAAAUGACGCUGAGGCUCGAAAGCGUGGGGAUCAAACAGGAUUAGAUACCCUGGUAGUC
rnacentral:rRNA from 1 species